rnacentral:sRNA from 1 species
GCUGGGUGUGGUGGUGUGUGCCUGUAAUCCCAGCUACUCGGGAGGCUGAGGCAGGAGAAUUGCUUGAACCUGGGAGGUGGAGGUUGCAGUAAGCCGAGGUCGCACCACUGUACUCCAGCCUGGCACCUGGUGACGGAGUGAGACUCUGUCUCAAAAAAAAAAAAAAAAAUUUAAGAGGCUGAAGGAGGAGAAUCAUUUCAACCUGGGAUGUGAAGGUUACGGUGAGCCGAGAUCAUGCCACUGCACUCCAGCCUGGGCAACAGAGCAAGACCCUGUCUCA